AAGAAGGAUUCUUACUGACUUAAGUUUGUUUUGGAUUUGCAGCUUGUUCUGAGGCAACGUUUUGGCUCUGUAAUCUUUAAAAAAACUUCCUCUUCGUUAUGUGAUACUUUGUUUUGUCUCUGUCUUUGUCGUUGUGUGGAACAUGUUUGGUUAAGCUUAUAUUUAGUGCAGUUUGGUUAUCUUCUCUGUAGGUACAAUAUGAGGAUGCUGCUUUGCUUUUUAUUUCUCUACGGGCUCGUCAUAGUGACAACAGGGCCAGCAUGCAGAACCAUUUGUCCAAGACAUGUCUACAAAUGAUGCAGACAAUCAAUAGCAAGAACCAAAAACACAAA